GUCCCGGGAAGGCCCCUUGAAGGUGCUUGCACUCCCGGCGCCAGGGGCCCCGCGUACUCACGCUGUCUCCGGCGACAAGAUGAUGAGACGCGCUCGCGCCCCCACCCGGCAUGCAAACACUGUCUCCGACGACAAGAUGGUGAGCCGCGCUCGCGCCCCCACCCUGCAUGCAAACCAUGUCUCCGAUGACAAGAUGGUGAGCUGCACUCGCUUCCCCCUCUCCUACUAGUGAUUUGAAGUUAACCGGUGCCUAAUGUUUUGAAGUUACUGACAAUCUUUAAUCUAGUCAUGUGAAUUGUACUGUAGCUUACUGAAUUGCCUGAUGUGUAUGUGCAUGAACUACGUGGUGUGUAUAUGUCCUUGGAUUUUCUAAUCGCUGCGGUCUCGUCUGGCAGAUGGACAAGAACGAGAUGGCGCCGGUCCAGGGGGUGCCGCGCAUGCGAGGGAGCAUCGCGUCGUCAAGUGCGGUUGGUAAGUAUACUUUAUGCUGCUUUUUUUGUCAACAUCGUCUCCGUGCAGGCUACACUGGCAAACAAGCUGCUUAACUCUUGUGCAUGCUGGUUUUUCGUCAUCACUAGUAUACUGGUAUUGGACUGAAGCUUGUUAGCUCUGUCCAUGCUGGGUCUUUUUUUUUCAUUAUUAGUAUUGUUAUAUAUUAGCUGAAGCUGCACAUGUUUUCUUUCCAUUGACGUUGGUGCGGGCGGUGCUACGCGUCAGUCGGCCGAGGGAUGGACGCCUUACUCACCUGAUUUUAAUCAAGUCCCACCUAGGUGUAGUUUGUUUUGUCACUAGCUGUGUAUACAUAGGCGAGCUCCAGCACUAUGCUGCAGCGUGGAAAACAUAUGAACUGUAAUAAGAAACAUGCAAUGGCUAGAAAUAUCUCCACAUAUUUUUUUCAGCACAUUUUAGGUGUCAACGAAAUUAGUCGGAUCGCCAGCCAUCGAAUUGACAUAUGGAGCAUUGGAUCACACUACACGGCAGCAGAGAGAAUGGAAACCGUGUUCCUCCAUAGCCUCCACAAUACAUGUGUAUCCACCACCCCUCCCACAUCGUCGCAACAGACAAUUACGUCCCCUUGCAACACCUGGCUUUGGUACCCUAGAGAUCCCUGAUAUCGCUUGGAUAUCCUGCAAGUAUUAUUACAAUGCGCCAACGAGGCGUCGUCCUUGCAACAUUGUCUUACAGACAAUGUAGUUGAUGCCACCACCACCAUCACCCAUUUACACAUGGGCCGUGGCAUGUGGCACUGUUCGUGGGAUAAAACACAUCCCGCGAGAAUAUGCGGUUGCACCACUAUGAUCUGUGCAUCUUAGGAAUUGUUGUGACUGCCCCUGCAAAACUAGCGAUGAUACGACCAUCGCCCUGCAACAUCGGCCAUAGUUGUAGCACAUAUGAGAAGACGGAUGCCGCACCUAACAACACAUUAUGUGUUUUUUGCACCAUAUGAAAGCACUGCCUUGCAACAUCGGCUAUCAGGGUGCUGCACCGACAAACACACUCACGACCUUGAGAUGUCGUAUGCCUUGGCCGAUGUAGCAUAGUGCUCCUUUUUCAGCAUAUAGCGAUGGCUUGUAGCAUUGAUGGUCGGAGAGUCGCAACAUCAUUGAGUGGCAGUGCUAGCCCAACUCAUUGUCAUAGAGAAAGGGGAAUAAAGGAUGGGUGUGCACGUGGUGGAAAUAAAGUGAAUGGAUAUGGUGAAGAGAGAGGAAGACUAACAGGGGCAUCCGGCGCUAGAGCGAUCUGACUGAUUUACCCCUGAAACCAGCCUGUUGAAUAUAAUUCAAUUUUCUUUUGAGAGACCUCGUAAAAACGUCGCAACAUGUGAGCAUGUCUAUACAAAAAAUUGUAGAUAUACAACGCAUACUCAUUAGCUUCAACAAAUAAGUGAAAAAACACAAUGUAUAUAGGCCUGAACCGAUGGAUCAUCAGCAUGCAUCUACCAGAUCUUCCUAGGUUACGCCCAACCGUGAGUCGUUCAAUUGGGUCACACAUCACUACCCAAUCAACCACCAACUUAGUUGUUCCUCUCGUCUCCUGUACCCACCCUUCGCAACAUACACCCAUGAUUCUCAGCAAUAGACCAACAUGGAGGCGACAAUGGUGUCCAUGAUAGGCUAGUCAAAAGCACACCGGUGAUCAACCUUACAACACUAAACAGAACAUUGCAACAUGAGGUAACCCCAACUUUGUAGCACUGGUGCACCAUUUUCAACCACCUUGUAGCAAUGAAAAGUUCACUGACCAAUAGCAUUGCUGCACCAAGUUACUGGCUUCCAGCACUGAACACACGGGCUUGCAGCACCGCGAUGAUCGAUGGUCGGCCUUUCAACAAUAUUAGUUAACAUUGCACACCUCGUCUCCAUUUUUAUGUACAUACACAUGAGUGAGAUUGGAACAUCAGUAACGUAUCAACAUUACCAAACAUGAAGACAAUAAAUUUGUUUCUCCAAGCAUAGACGUUACUGAAUAAGCGUGCAACUGCACAUCCACCACAUGAGCCAUAAUUUUUUAGCUCUGUGACAACAGCUUAUAGUUGCAAAAGAGCUGGCGAUGAUGGUUUAGAAUGUAUAUGAUCAAAAUAGAUUAAAUGGAGGGGAGGAUGGACUACCUAUGUUGAAUCGGACUAGCCGCAAGGUCACAAGUGCCUUGUCUAAAUAGCCAAAAAGACAAAAGGAGGCCUCCUGGAUUCUCCAUCCUGAAGCUAAGCAUAACUCCAACUCCAGACACGCUAGGGGGCUACUAAAGGUGCAAUACGCUAGGGAUGUCUUCUGGGUGGGAAGCCCGGUAGCAGGCUUGCCUUAGGGCCCAAGAGGCCAACUGGAGGAUCGGUGCAGUAGGGCAGCUCAGGAGCCUAGAUAAGGACUGUGGGAGCAUCUUGGCAGGCAAGCUAAGAUGGCAGUGGUAUGAGAUCUGAUGGAUUCCUUGUAAACCUAGCCCGCGCCACCUAUAUAAGGAGGGGCUCGGGGUUGUCAUUCACAUAUACUCUCAUAGACUAUACUCUCUGUAGCAUUAUACUUCAUCUCCACUCUAAACCCCUCGCACAAGGUGCUCCACCAUGAAUAAAAAUCAGAUACAGGAUGUUGGGCAUUACCUCUCACCGAGGGCCCGAACCUAGGUAAAAACCUUUGUGCGGACUACCUUGUCGUGUAUCCCCACAAGUUCACCACCCUACUAUGGGUACUCACGGUUUUCCAUACUAUCACAUAGUUAAGUUCUAACACAUUUUCUUUGGGGAGUUGAAGCAACUCAUGGUGUAAGUAGGUGUUGCUUGAAGCACUGAUUCUACUAGCACCUCCUUUCCCUCCUUUGAGAUACCUUGUCCUUCCAAUCCAACCACUUUGCCAUUUGAGCUUUCUUUAAUAUGUUUAAAAUUUCCUUCCUUUGACCUACCCACCACGGUUGGGACCCCAAAUAAUGCUCGCUCAAUGCCUUAGGAUCUGUGCAAAGAUAUUAACAACAACUUAGUCCUCCUAUUUGCCUCACUUCCCAAAGAAUGUUGAAGCUUUUAGAAAAUUUCCCAUUUGUCCCGAGGCCCACUCGUAGUCAAAUAGGAUAUAUUUAAGGUUACAAAGUUGCCAUUUGACGGUUGAAGAAAUACUAUACUAUCAUCUGCAGAAAUAAGGUGGGCUACAUGGGGGUUAGUGCUCCCAAAAGAUAUACCAUUGAUCUCUUUAUCUUUGAGCACUCAUGAGAAAGGCCAAAAAACUCGCAACAUAGAAAAUAAGAAAAUAGGGAGACCAUCGGUCUCCUUGCCAGAGCCCUCUUCAUAGUAUAAAAAAUACAUAACACACUCCUUUCAAUUUGAUAGAAAACCUGGCCGGGGUACCACACAUCAUAAUCAUCAAGAUCAACCUAUCUGAGAAACCAAGUGCCCUCAUCAUCAGAUCGAGGAAAAUCCAAACCACCCUCUUAUAGGCCUUCAUCAUGUAUAGUUUAAUUGCGAACAUUGGAUUUUUCUAUUUCUUGAACGAACAUACUUUGCUCCUGCGUGAUCAUUAUGGAUAUGACAACCUUCAAUCUCUUUGCUAGGCCUUUGAAGCAAUCUGACUGAGCGUGUUCAAUAAGUUGAUUGAUCCCAUUUGAGGAAGUAUCUCCAUUGAGGUAAUUUUGGGGAUUAGUACUAGAACCAUAUCACUAAAGUUUGGUCAAAUAACUCCAUUAAAAGAAUCACCUAUUACUAUGCGUACAUCAUUUUUUAGAAAUAACUAGUGAAAUUGGUAAACAUAAGUAAGAGGUUGUCUAGCCCCUGCGCUCUUGCCAGUCAAAUUUAGAAUAGUGCAUUCUCAAUUUCUUCAUCCAUCACGUCCGUGUUCACCCUCUCCUCCAUAUCACUAGUCACACAGGGUCGGAUGUGAGCUAAGAUGUUGUCAGCAUCAACAGAGGCUUCUGAAGAAAACAACUAAGCAUAGAAAUCGGCCGAAAUCUUCCCCAUCUCAUUGUCAAUAGUACAACUCAUGCCAUCCGCCCUCAUGUUUUGAUCGUCUUCCUUGAGAAAUUCCAGUUGGGAACAUUGCAUACACAUUAUUUGUUCUUGUGCACGAACCACAUGAAGCUACGCUUCAAUCUCGCUGGUCUUCAGCAAGGAUGUCUGGAUCCCAAUGCGCUACCCUUUCCAUCGAAGCUGGACCUUGUGCCUAGUAAUCUGACAACAUACAAGACAAAAUAUAGAGCCACUUCAAUGUUUCAUAUCAUUGGUGACAUUGUUACGCUUCCUGUAGAGCUCACUCUGGCCGAAAUUGUUAUCACAUGCACACUAUCAUGCCUACAUGGGCAUCCACCUCUCCUCAAACGUUAAUGCCCUCUUCUUACUUUUGGUAAUGACUAGGUUUUCUAGCGAUCUAUUAACGAGCAAACCAUGGUCUGGUCCUCCAUGACAACAUGUUCAAUGGGUGUAUCCUACAAUGAAUGCACGAAUUCAUCAUUGCAUGGACCCCUGUCCACAUGUACAUAAACGAUCUCAUCCCGCACCCUCUUAUUGUCCCAAGUGUACAUGUUGCUACUAAAACAAAGUUUUGAAACACUAUUAUUGGCUACACUCUCCCUAAUGCGCUCCAUUUGUGUGAAACUCCUCAAGUAAUCUCCUAGUUGUUGUGAUUAAAAGAAUUCUUUGUUGAGGUAUCAUUGUAACAGAUAAAUGUAUUAUUAGGAUCCAAUCUCUCGGAGCCUCCCUUAGCUACACAAAUUUUCAUCAAUCUCUCUUCCUAUCCAGUAGCUUUAGGUGAUAAUCAUUGUGACGCCUUUGGUGGUCACCAUCACGUUGCCUUGUCUUAUGAACAAAAGUGCCUCGUCUGCGUUGCUCUGAGGUAGAUGGGUCAUCUUUCCCAAUGGCCUUGCACCCUUUCCCAUAUAGAUUUUUUUAUGUCUUGCUUACUUUCAUGCUCCUUCCUCAGGUCCCACUUACUUUUUAGAUUUAAAUCAUCCCUUAGUUCACAAUCAUGUCACAUUUCUUGCCUGAAUUGGUCCUCCCUACACUUCAUCUUAGGCAGUUACCCUGUACAAGACCAUCUCGAGGAUCCUCGCUAGAGAGAGAGUCCACAGAGGGUGUAUAAUCAGUGUAUGACCUGCACUUAAAUGGACGGGCAUGCAACGCUACAUGACCCCUACGCCCAUAGACGCCCUUGCUUGACCUAGUGCUCCCAAAACUAAAGUUCGUGCUUUCUUUCACCGGCCUCUACUUAGUUUUUGUCUAUGAGGAGCCAUGUCCAAGUGAUGCCCUCAACCAUUCACCCAACUAGGGUGAGGAAUCAUUUUGUGGUUCAAAUCAUCUGUCAACAUGUGCUAGUCUGUCGUAGUCAAUCCAAAAGAGAGGUAUCUUCUCAAAUUGAAAAUCAAACAAGGUCCCCUCAUCUUUUGCUGAAGAGUGGAUAAAGAAGCCUUAGACUAGUGAAAGAAAUCUAUCUCUAAAUCUGAGAUGGUUCCCCCAUAAAUCCAUCGUUCUUAACAUCACUCUUUACCACGCCACCAAGACAAUUCCCAAGAGCAUUCCCAAAAGUAUAUGAUCAUUUAUAUAGGGGAGGAUCUGUAAUUAUCACCCAUGGCUCCGUCAUACAAAACAUUAUCUUCGAUGACCUGGUUUUUUCAUCAUAAUCCUUCAAAACUAUCACAUUAAAACCAAAUUGCCACAUUCAAUUAUAUAGAGCGUGCUUCUAGACUCCUUUGUUAUGGAAUCUAAAGAAGAAGAUACUAUUUCUAAUGUGACUUACUUGGACUUCCUAAUAGUGUCACAUGUAUGUUGCGUAGCCCUAGCAAACACGUUGAUGUUGAUUUGCUGGAGUGAGCAUGCCUUUCCAACCACUGACCACCGAGUAGGCCUCGGUCGGUCUGGAAUCCUGAUUCUCAAGCAUGAGAUCUAUUAGUUCCUUUUGUUGUUAACUUCUGGGCUCCUUGUUAAUUUGGUUGAGAGAUUAGCUGCCUCCCCUGAAGCAUUUCCAUCUGUCAGGGACUUUGAAGGUUCUCAUCUUAAUGAUCCUUGGUCGCCCUGUUCACUUGAGCUGUCGAUUUACGCCACGCCUUCUCUCCCAUAGUCGCGCAAAGGAGUGGAAGCACCAAGACCAAUCAAUGUAGGAGUAUAGAGUGUCAUCACCUCAUAGAUGAAUAGAAACCUAACCCUAGCACUACUUGUCGGUCGCCUAUAAUCGCCCUUAGCAUUUCUUUUCAUGUUGGGCCCGCCAUAAGGUAUUUAUAUGUUCGCUUCCAUUGGUACUUUUUUUUGCACUGGAGCCUUUCUGCUACAUUUGCCUUUCUACGAAGGAUGUCUUAUCCAAAUCAUAUAGUCUCCUCUAUCUAUAGGAAGCGAGGACAUUAGCUCUUCUUUUUUUCAAGGCAAAUACACUUGCUAGUGUUCAAGCGACAUCGAAAGAAGUCUUGUCACAUGUGAAGACGACGCUAAGAGUGUGACACAUAUAGGUGCCAACUUGAAGAAUAAUGCAAAUUUCAGUAAAUAUGAAUAGCUCCUGGGGGAACGAGCGCAUAAAGGAAUCAGCCACCAUAAAUGGAUCAUUUCCAAAGAAACAAAGUCACAAAGAGAGAGACAAGACAUUAGCUUCUUUAUGGGGAACACAUAUAUUUAAAUGUUGCCUUGCUCUCUGAUUAUUAACAAGAAAUAAUUUUUACUAAUAUAUUAUGUGUAAAUCUUGAUAGAUAUGGAAUGUAUUUUGGUCAGUAUGUUUUAAGGAAUCAUAUUAGUUUUUGGUAUGUAGAAAUUAAAAGAAGUUCAUGUGCCUUCAAGGCAUGUCAAGGUGUGUUGUUCCACCUCAAAAUUGGUUCAUACUAAAUGGUUAUUCUCCCUACAUAUAGCCCCAAUUCUCAUGCUCUCUCUCUCUCUCUCUCUAUUUUAUAUUCCAGACUACUCCAUAAAGCCUAACUGGUGAAGGUCCAGAAACACCCAGCAGUGACGGGUUGAACUCCCAUUAGUAGUCUAUACUUAGUGGAGGAGAAACAAGCCACUUACAGGCACGAGCCCGCCAAUGGUGAAUAAAUCAGAAAAGAAAAUCAGGCCAUGGCCAGUCCAAAUCCAGCACCUGCCAACAAUGUGUAGUCUCCACUACUCGAACCUACUUUUCCUCAGUGCGUGACAUCAUGUGAUGUUUGGAGAAUCCAUAGAGUUGGGGAUCCGAAUAUAAAAAACAACAAUGGGGAGUGGCUUGAAGAAUAGGAGCCAAGAAGCUGGACGGAGAAGGCCUCCACCAUACUGCACCAUUGGCCGAUACUGAUCCGUAUGGUGCAAGGACCAAGGCAGAACUGAACACCGUCAUCAUCUAGGUUGCAAAGGAAGUUGGACCACUGUGUUGCUUCUCUCGGACAAACUCAAUGAUUUCAUGCAGUUGGCACCCAUGCCACAUUCCAUAGAGAUAACAACAUUGAGGAGGAGGAGGGACAACGCAAGGUUUCUUCCUCAUAGGAAUUAGUUUCGAGGAAGUGGGGGGACGAUAUGGCAUGAUGAGCAGUUAACAAGGGAAGUUUGCAUGACUGUGGAGGACAAAGCAUUAAGACAAGUGUGCUAGUAGCUAGAUAAGGGAUGAAUGAUAGCAGGAAGGAAUAAUGAGCUUACUGGGUGAGGCUACUAUUUUUUAAGUUGCGACCUACUGAUCAUAACAACAAUUGAUCGUAACAACGUACCAUUGAUGAUUUAGGGUAUUGAUUUAGUAACUGUUAGGAUGUGACUACGGCUUGUAAGUGGUGGGUUGUAUAUUACUAACAAGUAGCAUGUUUAGCCUCAAUAUUGUCCUCUGUCACUCGUAACAACGUGCCAUUGACGGACCACAUAUUGGGCCCGUCACUACUACCUUUUUCAAACAAAAAUAGAAUUUUAGUUAUAGUCAGAUUCACAACAAUCCCGCCGGCCAUUAGUGUUAAGUAGCAUUGCUGACCGGUUUUUUGAACCACCACUUUUGAUCGAUAACUAGGCGAGAACUCUAGUGUAGUGCACAUUUGUUUGGUUGAGAUUUUUUAGUGUUUUUAUGUGCACAAAGACAUAUCGUUCAACCCUAACAUGUUCUCUUUAGGUGGGGUCGAGAGUGAAGGACUGGGGAGCUUGGAAGUAGGGGAAAUGGCACCUCGAGGGGUUCAGGUCUCCAUGAUCAAUAACCACAAUUUUGAUCUGAAUGAGCUGCCGACUGAGCAUGAGUAGCUCAAGAAGGAGUAGUCACCCAUGGAGCAAGAGUAGCCGCCUAUGGCACAACAUGAGCUUUAAUAUUCACAAUGGUUGGAGGCUACUCAAAUCCCGCUUGUGUGAGAAAAAAUAACUCUUGGCCCAAAGUAUAGCCCUGUCAGAAAUUAUCGAAACAAUAUCCUUAUCCCAAGGACGAUUGUAAAGCUUAUGUGGAACUUUUCAAUUUCUUGCUUCCUAUUUUUUGGUGAUUGACUGACGCUAUUGCUAAACUUGAGGGAAGGACUUGGUAUACUGCCUCAUGAUCAAUGUGUCACCUGGAAUGGCUUUUCUAUUCAUUUCCCAUGAUGGUUUUGAUAUGUAGAUUGUUUGGACAAGCAUUUAUUCAUUCGGUAAAGCUUUGUGAAACAUCAACGGUGUGAAAUGAUAGUAGGUCAAGAAGUGUGUUGGAUCAUGAGAUAACAUAUUUUCUAAGUUGUUAAUCAUGUGUGUUAACACCAUGGGUAGUAUGAGAGAAGGUCAACAUGCAUGUUUGGGUCUGAAAUGACCUCAUGACCCAAAAGGGAGAGAAACAUGCCUAAUAGGAAUAUGAACAAUAUGGAAGUUACUUGUUGCAUGGAUGUUAACUGUGGUUAUGAAACCACACAAGAUGUCAGAGGACCCGCAUCCUUACAUAUCAAGGUUGACUUCACAUGCCAACUGGAUUUCGACUAAAUUAUUGUAUAUGCAUGUAUGUUAUAUCUUGACAUCUUACCAAACAAAAAACACCAAAAAAUACACUAUUUACUUCUCUUUGAUGCAUAUUCUAGUUGGAGAGUAAUCAUAACCUUAUGUGGAUAUUUUUCCAUAAUAGAAUAUAUAAUGGUCUAGUGAGGCAAGGUGUAAAUGGAGAGGACAAUAGUCGAACAUGAAAACAUCCAACAUUGUGUUAUAGUUGCAUCAAGUUGUCUAGUGAGUCAAUAUGGAAAUGGAGGAGGCUCAUAGGGCAACACGAGAACACCCAACAUGUUGCUCUACUUACUUCCUAUUGGUACGAAGAGACCGAGAGUAGUGAAAGGUUAAUCAUAACACAUGGACAAGAUAUCUCAUACAAGAUGAAAAUGGAGUGAGUCUUGUAUGAAAAUGCUAACAAAGUAUGAGUGUGCAUAGCAUGCCAUCCCCUCCCUUUCUUGUUCGAGUUUCCUUCACCAACCCCAUAGUACCCUGAUCAACACUAUUAUUUGGAUAUGCUUCUCAUCUGAGAAAGAAUAGUUAUUGAGAGACAUUUAUAUCAUUGUCUAGAUAGACUUGUUCAAGGGCCAAUAAUGGAGGUGUCUUAUCUAUUAUAGCCACAUUCCGGAGAAGAAUAAAAAAAGUAGACACAACCUGAUAAUUUAUUGAGAUUUGAAUUGAGGAUCCACAUACAUCAACUAUCCCACAUGUGAAUCAAAUCCACAUCCUACAUGGGCAUUGGGCUUUAGUUGGACUACCACUUUAUGGACAAGCCAUGUGCUCCAUGUAGUCUAUGUUGCAAAGGCGGGAGGACAAGGAGCAAAUAGUUUUUGAUGGCUGGACAUUGAAGUUAUUUGUCAAGAAAUUUGUUUCCUGACAUGGUUUGUUUAUUUCAUUAUUUAGUAUUUGAUAUCGGUUCAAUGCUCUAGUAUGUAACAUUCUUCUCACAUUUUGGGUCUAGCUCUUGGUGUUCAUGAGUUCAUUACUUAUGUUAACUAUUAUUGUUGUGGCCACUUGUUCGACAAGAGACUAUAAAGUUAACUAAGAUACUCUCAUAUUUAUAUUAAUAUAGUUGGCACUGAGGUAAUAAUAAACCUUGAAUACUACUCAUAUUUGUCAAAUAGGAGGUCAAGCUGGAUCUGUCUGGCGCAUCAUCUAUGGUCACAUGGUGUAUUGUCUAUUCUAACCCCAAUGAGUAUUGCAGAAUGACAUGUUCCUGCGAGGAGGAAUGAGUCACUCUUUUGUGUCAAGGGGUGAUGCCAUGCCUCAUAAUUGACAAUAAAAAAUUAACCACCUACAUCAAAAGUCUAACCCAAGACAGGGAAUAGGCGCCAUUGCAAUUUUACCGCACAAAGUCAUCGGUAUUUUGCAAUUGAAUGUUCCCCAUGUUGUGACUGAGAACACAAAACACAAAACACCCCACAAAACACUAUUCACUUCUCUUCGAUGCAUAUUCUAGUGGAAGGGUAGUCAUAACCAUAUGGGAAUAUUUUACCACAAUAGAAUCUAUAAUGGUCUAGUGAGGCAAGGUUUAAAUGGAGAGGAUAAUAGGCGAACAUGGAAACAACCAACAUUGUGUUUUACUUGCAUCUAGUUGUAUAGUGAGAUAAUAUUGAAACGGAGGAGGCUUAUAGGGCAACAUGAGAACACCCAAUAUGUUGCUCUACUUACUUCCUAUUGUUACCAAGGGACUGAGGCUCGAGCAUGGUUAAUCAUAACACAUGGAGAAGAUCUCUCAUACUAGUUGAUAAUAGAAUGAAUCUUGUAUGAAAAUGCUAACAAAGUAUGAGUGUGCAUAACAUGCCAUCUCCUCCCUUUCUUGUCGUAUUUUCCUUCACCAACCCCCAUAGUACCCUGAUCAGCACUAUUAAUUUGAUAUGCUUCACAUCUGAGUUAGAAUUGUGAUUGGGAAUAGUUGUAUCAUUAUCUAAGUAGACUUCUUCAAGGGGAAAUAAUGGACGUGUCUUAUCUAUUAUAGCCACAUUCCGGAUAGGAAUAAAAAAGUAGACAUAACAAGAUAAUUUGUUGAGAUUUGAAUCGAAAAUACAACAUACAUCAACUAUUCUACAUGUAAAUCAAAUCCUCAUCCUACAUCGGCAUUCGGCUUUAGUUCGACUACCACUUUAUGGACAAGCCGUGUGGUCCAUGUGGUCUACGUCACAAAGGCCAGACGACAAGGAGAAAAUAGUUGUCGAUGAUUGAUCAUUGAAGUUAUUUGUCAAGAAAUUUUUCCCCGACAUGGUUCAUUUAAUUCAUUAUUUAGUAUUUGAUAUCGGUUCUAUGCUCUAAUGUGUAACCUUCUUCUCACGAUUUGGGUCUAGCUAUCAGUGGUCAUGAGUUCAUUACUUAUGUUAACUACUAUUGUUGUGUCCACUUGUUCGCCAAGAGACUAUAAAGUUAACUUAUAUCCUCCCGUAUUUAUAUUAAUAUAGUUUGUGGUUAGGUAAUCCUUGACCUUGAAUAUUACUCACAUUUGUCAAAUAGGAGGCCAAGCUGGAACUGUCUAGUGCAUCAUCUGUGGUCACAUAUGGUGUAUUGCCUAUUCUAAACCCAAUGAGUAUUACAUUAUGGCAUGUGCCUGCGAGGAGGAACUGAGUUACUCUUUUAUGUCUAGGGGAGACGGCAUGCCUAAUAAUUCUCAAUGAAAAAUUAUAGCCUACAUCAAAAGUCUAACCCAAGAAAGUGAAUAUGUGCCAUUGUAGUUUUACAACACUAAGGGUGUGUUCUGAUCUUGUCGUGCUCCACGCUUCCCAAAUUCCUGGAGCAGAUACGAGCCGAACGAAAUAGCAGCGAGAAGCUAACUCCAGGAAGCUAGGAUUGACCGCAGCGCAAAAUCAUGAAGCAGACUCGGCCCAGCUCCACCAAUCCGAAAAGCUGAAGUUGGCCGAUAUUACAAGUAAACUGCCACAGCCAAGUCAUACGAGUCGAACCGGUACGCUCGAUCUGUUUGAUCGCUCCUCGUUCCCUCGCUCGUGCUCCCUCGCUGCUCCUCUACAAGGCCGAUUUGGGUUGCCUCCAGUCAGCCCAACUAGCUCGAACAGGCCACAACCCUUCUAGCUAGGUUGCAGUGCCGCGAGAAGCUGCAAACCGAGCCAAACGGAUUUUUCAUCGCUGCUUGGAGUGAGAAGCUACUCUGAAUAGGUGAAUUUCUGAAGUUUUGGGAAGCUAGAGGAGAUCAGAAAAGGCCCUAAGUCAUCGGUAUUUCAUAAUUGAAUGUUCUCCAUGUCGUGACUUCUGAUGGUGUAAACCCAAAUAAUUGCCAUUGUGAAAUUAAGUUCCUUUCGUGAGUCAGAACCCACAUCCGUAAAGAUGUGCCACUACAAUCCACCUCAUGGCUAUCUUGGAGUCCUUAAUAUAAUCAAGUGUGCCCAAUAUGGUGACUUAAUAUGUACUUAUUGACCCUACGAAGCUAAUCGCCUCCAUCAAGACCCCUUCCUGGUUCUCCUAUAACUAGAUUCCUCGAAACCACGAGAAUCCUUACAAUGGGAUAACAACUUAGCACCUUUCGUUUUCACAUAGUAAGAAGAGUUGCUCCUUGGAUAGCACGGUACGAUCAAAGGUGUAACCUGUGUUUUGGAGCGAGUUAUUGUCUCGAAACUUUGUUCUCAACUAUUCCGAAUCCAGCAAACGGAGGCCAUUGGGUCAAAGCUGUAGCGCACGCCCUGUAGUUUUCAAGUGGGGCGAGACAACUUAGCUAGGAACCUAUUUUCAUUCUGACCAGCUCCCUGAAAACAAUGUUCGACUUCAUGUGUAGUCGGUGUAGAUGUGUCAUUGCAAUUCCACCACUAGGAUAUCACCAAGUCCUAUGUAUUACAUGUCAACAUAUGCCACCAUAUGGUUACUUGACAAAUUAAAUGGAUUUCACCAAGAUUUCAUGUUACAAUUAUAGUGAAGAUAGUGACUCACAUGUCAGCCUCCCUGACGGGAAGCAAAAUCACUCUGACUUUGGCAACCUAAUUCUUGGCGGGUUCAAGCAAACAUGUUGGAUUUGUAUUUUAUUUAUUUCAACAUAUAUAAUUCAUAUAAAUAAAUCAAUUCAUAAUAGGAGUCUUGGAGACACCCAUGUCAAUAAUGUGAAAUUAUGGGAAAUCUUAUUAUGUGCAUCAACAUAAGCCAAAACUCGUGGCUUAAGAGAUAUGUUUACAAUCUUCCAAUGGUUAUUCCCCCUACUAAAUUCAUGAUGUUAACUAGUUCCCAUAAGUUGAGAAAGAAGUUUAGUCAUGGGAUCAAUGUCCAGUGCAUCAUAUUUCCAGUUCCCAAAAAAAAUUAUUAUGGAAGUUGAGAAAGAAGUUUGGGCAACAUAUUUCCAGACACCUGUCAUGUCUAGGAUCUUCUCAAGCCUAGGUAAGCUUAGUCACGGGAUCAAUGCAGGCUAUUAGUACAUUGACCCGGUUCUUAAUUCAAGUCCUCCUUGCUAGAUACAAUAUUGAAUGGAAAGUACAUAAUCAAUUUAUUUAAGUGGGUGAACAAUGUUGGCUAGUAUAUUUCAACACUCACCUCACAUGCAUCUUUUAGAGGCAUAUAAUGCAUCGUGAUGGAAACAUUUUUUCUAUAGACUAAAUUCCAAUGGAAAAUUUUAAUUAAUUUAAUUAGUAGCAAUCUCGUAUGGUAAGGAUAUAUGGCAAAUGAAAAUGAGGGCUUAAAUGCUACUUGUUGGCACACAAAAGUCAUGUUGUCUUUUUCCUCCCAUGUUGAUCCUUUGUGGUUUGACAUUAGGCAUUCCAAAGAGAACAAGUUAUCUUUACACACCUCUAGAGCUACUAGACCCUGGAUGUUCCACCAUGAAUGUCCAUAUGGUGCAAUGAGUGAUAGCGAGCUAUAUUAGAACAUAUAGUUUACACCGUUAAAGUAAUUAAAUGGGCUAUUUUGGCUACUAUGAAAAAUAGUAUUUUAAGAGAAAACUAUGUAAGAGUUUGUGAUCUUUGUAUGUAAAAGCAUUAUUUGCCUUUGCUUGGUGUUCACGCAGUUUGAUUUAUGGCAAAAAUGUAAAAUCAUGGGACAAUAAUUGUUGAUAUUCUUUGCGGAGAAAGCGAGAUCUUUCCACUUUUCAGAUCACACAAAGUAUUGUUUUUCUUAUAGGGGUGAUAUACAGUGUUCUAAAUCUGCACUUGUGAUUCGUUGUCCAUUUAAAUUUAAAUGGUUUCUUCCACAGAUUAUGUUGGUUUGUUGUUGUAUUUAUCUCAGCACUAAAGUAUACUGAUGUUAGCUAAGUCCAAUCAAAGGCCCAUGUUUUUAUCAUGUUAUGCAAAUUAGUAAGCUAAGAUCUUACCAAACUCAAGUUACAUAAGCCCAGACUACGUGAAAUACACAUCAUGCAGUACACAUGUUCAUCUUAGUGUUAUGUUAUACUUGGCUUCGAGAUAACAAAUGGUAUCAAUUAUUACUAUCUUUUGCAGCUUGUUUCUGCCUGGUCAUCGUAGAAUUAUCUUAUGUGGUCUCCCAAGGUUCAUGCAACUUGGAUUUUCAUACUUUGGUAGUAUUAGUGUUCACUAGGACUAGGUGCCACUCUGUAGAAGCUAAGGAUACAGAUGGAGAAAGUAGUCAUGGUUUUUUUUUUCAAAAAGUUUGUUCAUAUCUAUAAGAGGUUUAUGAUUUUUCAGUGUAUACUGUUGUGAAACCUAGAGUGUUUUAUCUCAUUUAACAUUGAACUACGCUUUCAAGGAAAAACCUUCAUUUGACAUCGAACUAUGCAUGCAGGGCAAACACCCCGUGCUUCGUUGCCACCGCGCCGCGAACCCUGGGAGCUUGAACCUGGAUGGGUGUGAACUUAAGAUUGAUGUCAAUGUUAGGGGUCAGUCAUUGAUAGAGAAUAAAGGGGACUUUGCGAAACUGUUAUUAAUAAUAUGGAUGAAACAUUGCCUUGUGGAGAGAAUAAGAUAUUUCAAGAGAUAUUUAUAAAUGGAUGCAUACUUGCAAUAGCAGUACAAAAUAUGAUGCUAACAUUUUAUUUUCAUUGUUGUUCCCAUUAAACUUCUGGUGGUGGCUCCAUUAUUCACAGCCUCGCACAUGAAAAUGUUAUUUCGUUCGGGUAAAUGUUGCGUGUCGUUGCUCC
rnacentral:lncRNA from 1 species